UCGGACGUGGUGCACGGUACACACCCACUCCCAUCACAUUGAUGUACUAUGGAAAAUAUUUGGCAGGAAACCUGGGUUCGACUCCCGGCGUCCGAA